rnacentral:rRNA from 1 species
AGAGCGAACGCUGGCGGCAUGCUUAACACAUGCAAGUCGCACGGUCAGGUUUCGGCCUGGUAGUGGCGGACGGGUGAGUAACGCGUAGGUAUCUAUCCGAAGGUGGGGGAUAACGGCGGGAAACUGCUGCUAAUACCGCAUAUGACCUGAGGGUCAAAGGUCGCAAGACCGCCUGUGGAGGAGCCUGCGUACGAUUAGCUUGUUGGUGGGGUAAAGGCCUACCAAGGCGACGAUCGUUAGCUGGUCUGAGGGGAUGAUCAGCCACAUUGGGACUGAGACACGGCCCAAACUCCUACGGGAGGCAGCAGUGGGGAAUAUUGGACAAUGGGGGCAACCCUGAUCCAGCAAUGCCGCGUGUGUGAAGAAGGUCUUCGGAUUGUAAAGCACUUUCGACGGGACGAUGAUGACGGUACCCGUAUAAGAAGCCCCGGCUAACUUCGCGCCAGCAGCCGC